rnacentral:rRNA from 1 species
UACGUAGGGUGCAAGCGUUGUUCGGAAUUAUUGGGCGUAAAGGGUGCGUAGGCGGUUUGGUAAGUCUCUUGUGAAAUCUAUGGGCUCAACUCAUAGUCUGCAAGGGAAACUGCCGGGCUUGAGUGUGGGAGAGGUGAGUGGAAUUUCCGGUGUAGCGGUGAAAUGCGUAGAUAUCGGAAGGAACACCUGUGGCGAAAGCGGCUCACUGGACCACAACUGACGCUGAUGCACGAAAGCUAGGGGAGCAAACAGG